rnacentral:rRNA from 1 species
UACGGGGGGGGCAAGCGUUGUUCGGAAUCACUGGGCGUAAAGCGCACGUAGGCGGUUUGUUAAGUCAGGGGUGAAAUCCUGGAGCUCAACUCCAGAACUGCCUUUGAUACUGGCGAUCUUGAGUUCGGGAGAGGUGAGUGGAACUGCGAGUGUAGAGGUGAAAUUCGUAGAUAUUCGCAGGAACACCAGUGGCGAAGGCGGCUCACUGGCCCGAUACUGACGCUGAGGUGCGAAAGCGUGGGGAGCAAACAGG